rnacentral:rRNA from 1 species
UAAGGAAUAUUGGACAAUGCCCGCGAGGGUGAUCCAGCCAUGCCGCGUGCAGGAUGAAGGCCUUCGGGUUGUAAACUGCUUUUGUACGGAGCGAAAAGGUCUGCCCUAAUACGGUGGGCUCAUGACGGUACCGUAAGAAUAAGCACCGGCUAACUACGUGCCAGCAGCCGCGGUAAUACGUAGGGUGCGAGCGGUAAUCGGAAUUACUGGGCGUAAAGCGUGCGCAGGCGGUUAUAUAAGACAGAUGUGAAAUCCCCGGGCUCAACCUGGGACCUGCAUUUGUGACUGUAUAGCUAGAGUACGGUAGAGGGAGAUGGAAUUCCGCGUGUAGCAGUGAAAUGCGUAGAUAUGCGGAGGAACACCGAUGGCGGAGGCAAUCCCCUGGACCUGUACUGACGGUCAUGCACGAAAGCGUGGGGAGCAAAC